UGAAGGGUAACCUAAUGAACUGAACAUUCAUGAUAAGGCUGAAGUUGAUAAUAAUUUGAGAACCGAAACUUAUCAAGAUACUGUCUUUGUCCCGGGCAAUGCAUUCAGUAAAGCAAAUAGCAAUGCACAUAAACAUAAUGCUCCGGUAGUUAGUGAGAGGAAUGUUUCAGACAAACCAGCUCAAAAGGGGCCUUCUGAUGUUAGGAUACCUGGAAGAAGUCGAAAUAGAGUUAACAAAGAGUACUCAAAAGAAGAACAUCUAGGAGCUGCAAAGAGAAUGUUUGCUCAUGCUUUAGGUUUGCGCUCAGCUAAGGAUGGUGUUCUUUUGAAAAGCAGUGAAACGAAGGCAAUUGACAAUAAGAAAGAGCUCCAUGAUGAUACUACUGUCACAAAUGAGAAAUGCAAAGAAGAAAACCGUUUACCUGAGGUGGCAUGGUAGCUGCUUGCUUGAGUCUUCUGGAAUUGCAUCUGUUUGCAUUUGACUAGAGUUGCAAGCUAUCUGUUUUCCAUGGACUAGAAGGCGCAUCUAAGCUGCACAGGAGUCAUAUGUGCCAGUCAAAAAGAUUCAUUCUUCUCCCAUGUAAGAUGAUGUUUGAACCUGAAUAAUCUGUAGUCUGUUUUGGUACUGACUUGAGAGAUAUUGUGAGGUUGUGAUUGUAGGAAACUAUGUUAUAGGAAAAUAAUCAUUUGUAUUAUGUGCAGAGAAAAUGUUAACCGGGUUUAAUUCUCAA